GACGAACGCUGGCGGCGUGCUUAACACAUGCCAGUCGAACGGAAAGGCCCUGCUUUUGUGGGGUGCUCGAGUGGCGAACGGGUGAGUAACACGUGAGUAACCUGCCCUUGACUUUGGGAUAACUUCAGGAAACUGGGGCUAAUACCGGAUAGGAGCUCCUGCUGCAUGGUGGGGGUUGGAAAGUUUCGGCGGUUGGGGAUGGACUCGCGGCUUAUCAGCUUGUUGGUGGGGUAGUGGCUUACCAAGGCUUUGACGGGUAGCCGGCCUGAGAGGGUGACCGGCCACAUUGGGACUGAGAUACGGCCCAGACUCCUACGGGAGGCAGCAGUGGGGAAUAUUGCACAAUGGGCGGAAGCCUGAUGCAGCAACGCCGCGUGCGGGAUGACGGCCUUCGGGUUGUAAACCGCUUUCGCCUGUGACGAAGCGUGAGUGACGGUAAUGGGUAAAGAAGCACCGGCUAACAACGUG
rnacentral:rRNA from 1 species